AUGUUAUCAUUAUUUGAUAAAAGAAAAACGAAAAAAAAAAAAAUAAAUAUAUAUAAUAAGAUAUUAUUUGUACCUUCUAUUUAUGUUAAUUUGACUUAUCCUAAUAUGAUUAUUAUUAUUGUUACUAUUGUUGCUAGUAACAUAAUUGAUAAAAUUAUUUUGCAUAUAAUUACGGCUUACUAUUCAGAUAAAAUAUAUAGAACUCUAUCAAUAUAUAUACAUAAUUAUAUAUUAUUAAAACAGAAAUCAAUGCAUUAUUGUUUACGUGAAAAUAACUUUACAUACAAUUUUAUUUUUUUUGUUAAAUAUAUUAUUGCAACCUUAUCCGCUUUUUUUAAUUUAGUUAAUCUUUUUACACAAAUAAAUUUGGACAAAAAUUGUUUUGUAUUUUAUAUUUUUUGUUUAGAAAAGAAAAGAAGAAAAGUAGAUACAAAAUAUAAUACUAGUACUACUAAUAAUUAUCAUUCCCUGUUGAUCUGUUUAAAUAAAUAUAAUGUAUUACUACAUAAACAGAGGAAGGAAAAUUAUGUUUAUACUACAAGACCAAUAUUACUACCAUUAGUAUUAUCAUAUCAUUUUUUUGAUUUUAUUUUUAUUUAUCAUGGUGUGACUAAAAUGACUUGUAACGUAAGAAAGUGUAACAAAAACAAAAGAGGUCAUUAUUGUUGUUACGGUUACUAUAUAAUAGAAACAGAUUAUAAAAAAGAAGACUAUUUGAAAACUAAUUUACUAGGUAUGUUAUAUUAUUUAAAUUAUGUAUUGGUGAGUAUAUAUUUGUUUGUAUGUUAUAAAUUAGGUGUUACUUAUUAUGAUUUUUAUGAUGUGAUAAAAAAUGGAAAAGUAAAAUGUUUGUGUGAUAGUUAUUAUGGUGAUAGUUGUUGUGGUGAUAUAAAAUAUGGUCAAAAAUCGAUAAAAAACGAAAAAAAUUUGAUGAUUAAGAAAAGGUUUGAAAAAAUAUCUGUUAUUUUAAAUAAGAAAUUUAAUCACCAGUUAAAAAGUGAAGACAUUCACGAAGAUGACAUUUACGACAACUAUAGCAGUACUAAUAACAACAAUAAUAACAACAAUAAUAAUAACAGUAAUAAUAACAGUAAUUAUAACAAUAAUAAUAACAACAAUAACAAUCAAGACUCUACUACUACUAAUAGUAGUGGUAGUAGUGGUGGUAACAACACUGGUAGUAGUAAUAAUGGUAGUAACGGUGGUAGUAAUAGUGGUAGUAAUAGUGGUGGUAAUAGUGGUGGUAAUAGUGGUGGUAAUAGUGGUGGUAACAGUGGUGGUAACAGUGGUGGUAACAUUAACAAUGACAACAAUAACAGUGGCAACACUAACUUGUUAGCUGCUCAUAACGACCCGAACUACUCGAGCGAUUUAAAAAAUAAACAAGAUGACACGAAAGAGCAAGGAGACGUAAAUAUAAAUGAUUUAACAAAAAUUCCAAAUAGUGUUGAAGAAUUAAAAUGUAGUGUAAGUAAUGGUGGUAAUAAUAAUUAUAUGGUUGAUGAAAAGUUGAACGAAGAAAACACACAAAAACAUAUAACUGAUGAGAACAAACAAACUAAACUAAAUAGUAUACAUGGUAAUAAUGUUACUUCGAUUGAUGAUAAAAUUAUUAAUAACGAAAAAGAAAAAAAUAUUAAUAGUAAUAAACAAAUAAAUACAAAAAAUAAUUUUUAUAACUCAUGUGAUACGUCCGAUUCGGGUGACUCGUCUUUAUUCUCUGAUUGUUCAGUGAUGUCAAAAAAAGAAAGUAAUACAAUAUAUACAAAAUAUGAAAAAAAAUAUGAAAAAAAAUAUGAAAAAAAAUAUGAAANNNNNNNNNNAAAAUAUGAAAAAAAAUAUGAAAAAAAAUAUGAAAAAAAAUAUGAAAAAAAAAAUAAAAAAAUUACAUCAGAUAUAUUUACAGAAGUAGAAAAAAAAAAUAAAUUAAAAAAAAUGAUUUUAAUAAAACGUAAUAUAAUUAAUGGGUAUGAAAAUUUACAUAUAAAAUGUAAUGUUUGUUUAAAAAAUACAGGUAUUUUUAUAAAAUGUAAUAAUAUACAAUGUGAUCAAUAUAUACAUCCCUAUUGUGCAUUUAUGUGUGGACUACAUAUAAAAUGUAAAAUAUAUCAAGAUCAAUUUAUAAUUUUUAAAGGGAAGUUAGACAACUGUUUUUUACGAUUGUUUUUUUUUAUAUAUUGUAUUUCACAUUCAGCAAAAAAAUGUGGAGUUAAUAAUAUUUAUGAACAGAUCAUAAAAAGAAGAACAAAAUAUUUAAAUAGAGAUUUAUAUCCAAAUAUAUUUGAAAAUAAUAAAAAAGAGAGAAAACAAAAAAAUGCAUUAAAAUAUAAAAUACGUAACAAUUCAAAUAUGCUUAACAAUAAUACCACCAAUAUUGCUACUGGAACUGUUAACAGUAAUCGUAAUCGUUUUAGCAAUACUAUCACUGGUGUAACAACUAAUACAAGUAAUACAAAUAAUCAAACAAUAGUUGAUAACAACAAUAUGAUUAAUCUUGCUAAUAGAAGUGAUGUUUUUGAAUUUUUAGCUCAAAAUUAUAAUUAUUUACAUACAUAUCAAUAUAAUUAUUAUCUUCAACCAACUAUCGAUCAACUUAAAAAUAAUAUAUGUUCUGUUUGUUUUACUUCAUAUAAUAAGGAUACAGAUUUAUUUUACUGUAAAUAUUGUAAUUUAUGUGUUCAUAAAAAUUGUUAUUUGUUAAAUUCGGAAUGCUAUGAAUAUCAUGUAUAUUCAAAAAAAAAAUAUUAUAGAUGGUAUACUUUGCUUAUACAUAAAAAAAAACAAAGAGUGCAAUAUUUAAUUAAAAAAAUUUUAAAACAAAAAAAAAAAUAA
ensembl:lncRNA